rnacentral:rRNA from 1 species
AGCAUAUCAAUAAGCGGAGGAAAAGAAACCAACAGGGAUUGCCUCAGUAACGGCGAGUGAAGCGGCAACAGCUCAAAUUUGAAAUCUGGCUCUUUCAGGGUCCGAGUUGUAAUUUGUAGAGGAUGUUUCGGGUGUGGCUCCGGUCUAAGUUCCUUGGAACAGGACGUCAUAGAGGGUGAGAAUCCCGUAUGUGACUGGUAGCCUAUGCUCAUGUGAAACUCCUUCGACGAGUCGAGUUGUUUGGGAAUGCAGCUCAAAAUGGGUGGUAAAUUUCAUCUAAAGCUAAAUAUUGGCCAGAGACCGAUAGCGCACAAGUAGAGUGAUCGAAAGAUGAAAAGCACUUUGGAAAGAGAGUUAAACAGUACGUGAAAUUGUUGAAAGGGAAGCGCUUGCAACCAGACUUGCAUGUAGCUGAUCAACCGGUGUUCUCACCGGUGCACUCAGUUGCGUUCAGGCCAGCAUCGGUUUCGACGGUUGGAUAAAGGCCUUGGGAAUGUAGCUUCUUUCGGGGAGUGUUAUAGCCCAGGGUGCAAUGCAGCCUGUCGGGACCGAGGACCGCGCUUCGGCUAGGAUGCUGGCGUAAUGGUUGUAAGCGACCCGUCUUGAAACACGGACCAAGGAGUCUAACAUCUAUGCGAGUGUUUGGGUGUCAAACCCAUACGCGUAAUGAAAGUGAACGGAGGUGAGAACCCUUAAGGGUGCAUCAUCGACCGAUCCUGAUGUCUUCGGAUGGAUUUGAGUAAGAGCAUAGCUGUUGGGACCCGAAAGAUGGUGAACUAUGCCUGAAUAGGGUGAAGCCAGAGGAAACUCUGGUGGAGGCUCGCAGCGGUUCUGACGUGCAAAUCGAUCGUCAAAUUUGGGUAUAGGGGCGAAAGACUAAUCGAACCAUCUAGUAGCUGGUUCCUGCCGAAGU